rnacentral:ncRNA from 1 species
UCCUCCCGCCAGUCGGAGCCCUCGCGCGGCACGUCGUCGAGCGUGCCCUCGAUCACCACCUCGUAGGCGGGUGACCGGCUUGCAGCAACGGGAUGCGGACGGUUACGUUCGCCGCGACCACCACAAACGAAUACGGCCCCCGGUCGGGACGGCAAUCCCGAACGAGGGCCUGACCGAUCAGGAAUCAGACCUUCCCG